UAGUGAGUAAGUCUUAUGAGAUCUGAUGGUUUUAAAAAUGGGAUUUUCUCUGCACAAGUGCUCUCUCUUUGCCUGCUGCCAACCAUGUAGGAUGUGACUUGCUCCUCCUCGCCUUCCAUCAUGGUCAUGAGGCCUCCCCAGCCACAUGGAACUGAAGAAGCUCCCUUCCCCCAUUUCUGAGGUCAAGCUCAGACUACGUACUUGAUUGCUUGCCUCGUAAGACUUCCAAGUUCUGGAGGCUGGAAUUCCAAAAUCAAGUCGACAACAGAGCCAUGCUCCCUCUAAGAGCUCUAGAGGAAGACCCUUCCUUGCCUCUUCCAGCUUCUGGUGGCCCCAGGCAUUCCUUGGCUUGUGGCGGCAAAACUUCAGCUUCUGCCUUAUCUUCACAUAAUUUACAUUCUUCUUUGAAUGUUUCUGUGUCUUUUCACAUGGACUUCUUAUGAGGAUACCAGUCACUGGAUUUAGGACCUACCCUAAUGCAGAGAGAUUCCUAGAAGUGGAACUACUGGGUUAUAUGGCAAUUUCAUGUUUAACAUUUUGAGAAACUGCCACACUGUUUGACCAAGUGGCAGCACCAUUUUGCACUCUUGUGGCCGGAGAUUGGAGAGAGAAGAGGGAAUAAGAGGAGGUGUUAAGAUUCAGCAUUUAUGGUGAGGGAACAAGAACAUUCCCUUUCAACCAUUUGAGUUCAACAAUUUAAGUUCAACCAUUUGAAUUCAACAGGGGAACUCAAAGAGUAGAGAUUGGGUGCACCUAUAAAAAGGUGAGCUGGCAUGUUCCUCGACAGCUGGAGGCUUACUGGCUGUAGAAACCCCAGGCUCACCAUGGAUCUGCCAUCACAGAGGAACUGAAGGUGGUGGCACUUUCUGUUUGGCCUCAAUCCACUAAUCAAGAUUUUUUCUCAUACGGGAAAGAGGCUAACUCAAGAUAAUUAGAGAUCUCAAAGCCAACAAAAGUAACCUAAAUUACAAAACUGUGAAUAAAUAAAUUACAGGCCUAUGAACAAGAAAAUAUUUACUCCUCAUUCUUUCUCUCACGACUGGGGAAUGUGAAUCAGAAACCAUGACACCCACAUAUAAUUUAGCUUUGAAAGGUGACCCCUGUCCACUACCAUCAACCCCCACGCCCCAAUUCCUGAUGAGUGUCCUGAUUCCUGCAACACCCUCAUCCUUAGAAUAAAAUAUAGAAACUCUUGUUGCAAAAC
rnacentral:lncRNA from 10 species